CGCGGGGUGGAGCAGUCUGGUAGCUCGUCGGGCUCAUAACCCGAAGGUCGCAGGUUCAAAUCCUGCCCCCGCCA
rnacentral:tRNA from 5 species